AGUCGAACGGCAGCGCGGGUGCUUGCACCUGGCGGCGAGUGGCGAACGGGUGANUNNUACAUCGGAACGUGCCCUAGAGUGGGGGAUAACUAGUCGAAAGAUUAGCUAAUACCGCAUACGAUCUACGGAUGAGAGUGGGGGACCGCAAGGCCUCAUGCUCCUGGAGCGGCCGAUGUCUGAUUAGCUAGUUGGUGGGGUAAUGGCCUACCAAGGCGACGAUCAGUAGCUGGUCUGAGAGGACGACCAGCCACACUGGGACUGAGACACGGCCCUGACUCCUACGGGAGGCAGCAGUGGGGAAUUUUGGACAAUGGGGGAAACCCUGAUCCAGCAAUGCCGCGUGUGUGAAGAAGGCCUUCGGGUUGUAAAGCACUUUUGUCAGGAACGAAACGGUGAGGGCUAAUACCUCUUGCUAAUGACGGUACCUGAAGAAUAAGCACCGGCUAACUACGUGCCAGCAGCCGCGGUAAUACGUAGGGUGCAAGCGUUAAUCGGAAUUACUGGGCGUAAAGCGUGCGCAGGCGGUUGUGCAAGACAGAUGUGAAAUCCCCGGGCUCAACCUGGGAAUGGCAUUUGUGACUGCACGGCUAGAGUGUGUCAGAGGGGGGUAGAAUUCCACGUGUAGCAGUGAAAUGCGUAGAUAUGUGGAGGAAUACCGAUGGCGAAGGCAGCCCCCUGGGAUAACACUGACGCUCAUGCACGAAAGCGUGGGGAGCAAACAGGAUUAGAUACCCUGGUAGUCCACGCCCUAAACGAUGUCAACUAGUUGUCGGGUCUUAAUUGACUUGGUAACGCAGCUAACGCGUGAAGUUGACCGCCUGGGGAGUACGGUCGCAAGAUUAAAACUCNAAGGAAUUGACGGGGACCCGCACAAGCGGUGGAUGAUGUGGNNUAAUUCGAUGCNACGCGAAAACCUUACNUACCCUUGACAUGUC
rnacentral:rRNA from 1 species